AGSGSGKCUAUACAUGCAGUCGAGCGAACAGAUAAGGAGCUUGCUCCUUUGACGUUAGCGGCGGACGGGUGAGUAACACGUGGAUAACCUACCUAUAAGACUGGGAUAACUUCGGGAAACCGGAGCUAAUACCGGAUAACAUAUUGAACCGCAUGGUUCAAUAGUGAAAGGCGGCUUUGCUGUCACUUAUAGAUGGAUCCGCGCCGUACUAGCUAGUUGGUAAGGUAACGGCUUACCAAGGCAACGAUACGUAGCCGACCUGAGAGGGUGAUCGGCCACACUGGAACUGAGACACGGUCCAGACUCCUACGGGAGGCAGCAGUAGGGAAUCUUCCGCAAUGGGCGAAAGCCUGACGGAGCAACGCCGCGUGAGUGAUGAAGGUCUUCGGAUCGUAAAACUCUGUUAUCAGGGAAGAACAAAUGUGUAAGUAACUGUGCACAUCUUGACGGUACCUGAUCAGAAAGCCACGGCUAACUACGUGCCAGCAGCCGCGGUAAUACGUAGGUGGCAAGCGUUAUCCGGAAUUAUUGGGCGUAAAGCGCGCGUAGGCGGUUUUUUAAGUCUGAUGUGAAAGCCCACGGCUCAACCGUGGAGGGUCAUUGGAAACUGGAAAACUUGAGUGCAGAAGAGGAAAGUGGAAUUCCAUGUGUAGCGGUGAAAUGCGCA
rnacentral:rRNA from 1 species